GCAUAUCAAUAAGCGGAGGAAAAGAAACCAACAGGGAUUGCCCUAGUAACGGCGAGUGAAGCGGCAAGAGCUCAAAUUUGAAAUCUGGCCCCUCCGGGGUCCGAGUUGUAAUUUGCAGAGGAUGCUUCGGGUGCGGUCCCCGUCUAAGUACCCUGGAAUGGGUCGUCAUAGAGGGUGAGAAUCCCGUCUGGGACGGGUGGCCGUGUCCGUGUGAAGCUCCUUCGACGAGUCGAGUUGUUUGGGAAUGCAGCUCUAAAUGGGUGGUAAAUUUCAUCUAAAGCUAAAUAUUGGCCGGAGACCGAUAGCGCACAAGUAGAGUGAUCGAAAGAUGAAAAGCACUUUGAAAAGAGAGUUAAACAGCACGUGAAAUUGUUGAAAGGGAAGCGCUUGCGACCAGACUCGCCCGCGGGGGUUCAGCCGGUACUCGUACCGGUGUACUCCCUCGGGGGCGGGCCAGCGUCGGUUUGGGCGGCCGGUCAAAGGCCUCCGGAAUGUAUCGCCCUUCGGGGCGUCUUAUAGCCGGGGGUGCAAUGCGGCCAGCCUGGACCGAGGAACGCGCUUCGGCUCGGACGCUGGCGUAAUGGUCGUAAGCGGCCCGUCUUGAAACACGGACC
rnacentral:rRNA from 1 species